AAGGCUUUAGCUUAAUGAAAGUGUCCGUUUUGCAUGCAGAAGAUGUGGGAUAAAGGCCCGCAAGCCUUA
rnacentral:tRNA from 1 species